rnacentral:misc_RNA from 1 species
UAACACUCCGAAGAGCCACAUUCCCGCCGCCUUUCUCCCCCCGGACGAACUGAUGCUGGCCUGAGCCCGCCGGAGUGCGCCGCCGACAAGCGACGGUUGAUCCGACGGGCGCAAGUCUGGUCGCAAGCGCUUCCCUUUUAACAAUUUCACGUGCUUUUUAACUCUCUUUUCAAAGUGCUUUUCAUCUUUCGAUCACUCUACUUGUGCGCUAUCGGUCUCUGGCCAGUAUUUAGCUUUAGAAGGGGUUUACCUCCCAUUUUGAGCAGCAUUCCC